GGAUAGCUCAGUGGUAGAGCAGGUGAUUGAGAUUCAUCAUGUCGCGGGUUCGACUCCCGUUCCAA
rnacentral:tRNA from 1 species